CCCUUAGAUGUUCUGGGCCGCACGCGCGCUACACUGACUACUUCAACGAGUUGUUUCCUUGAUCGAAAGGUCUGGGUAAUCUUUGAAAGGUAGUCGUGAUGGGGAUAGAUCUUUGCAAUUUUUGAUCUUCAACGAGGAAUUCCUAGUAAACGCAAGUCAUCAGCUUGCAUUGAUUACGUCCCUGCCCUUUGUACACACCGCCCGUCGCACCUACCGAUUGAAUGGUCCGGUGAAUCUUUAGGACUGUGGCUGAGGCCUUGCCUUGUGCGGGUCUGGCCGUGGGAAUUUAGUUAAACCUUACCAUUUAGAGGAAGGUGAAGUCGUAACA
rnacentral:rRNA from 1 species